GCUGAGGUCGCUUAGUCCGGUAUAGCGCUAGACUGCUAAUCUAGUUCCUUUGGAAUCGCGGGUUCAAAUCCCGUCCUCAGCG
rnacentral:tRNA from 1 species